UGAAUAUAAGACAAUAAAUCUUAAGAAUAAAGAACUAAAACUAACUAAUCAAUCUCACUUCCAUAAGUAUGAUAAAUUAAUUAAGGACAAGGAUUUUAUCAUUAAAGAAAAUUUAGAACUUAAAACAAGCAACCAAAUGUUAAUUCAAAAAACUAAUACCUUAAUUAAAGAUAACGAAAAACUAACCAAGGAAAUUUCAGAACUUAAAAAAGGUAAACAAACUUUAAAAGA
rnacentral:lncRNA from 1 species